rnacentral:rRNA from 1 species
GUGCUGAAUCAUUCGCUAAUGCGCGAAAGCGUGACGGUGCGACGCCGCGUGGAGGAUGAAGGCCUUCGGGUUGUAAACUCCUGUCAGGGUGCAGAAAACCGCAGAUGUUAAUAGCAGCUGCGCUGAUCACACCCAAAGGAAGCACAGGCUAACCUCGUGCCAGCAGCCGCGGUAAGACGAGGUGUGCAAGCGUUGCUCGGAAUCACUGGGCAUAAAGGGUGCGUAGGCGGUGCGGCAAGUCGGAUGUGAAAUCCCCCGGCUCAACCGGGGAACUGCAUCCGAUACUACCGCGCUUGAGGGUGAAAGGGGCAAGCGGAAUUCCGGGUGUAGCGGUGGAAUGCGUUGAUAUCCGGGAGAACGCCGACGGCGAAGGCAGCUUGCUGGGUCACUCCUGACGCUGAGGCACGAAAGCUAGGGGAGCAAACAGGAUUAGAUACCCGGGUAGUCC